UCAUUUAUUAUUCCUUCAGAUUACAUUCAGUCUAAAGAACAUUGUGAUUUUCUUUUAAAGUGAUUCUCUUCCUUAUGUGUGUAUGAACUGACCUGGAAGUCACUACUGUCUGUUUAUCUUCAUGUGAAACAGUUAACAAUGUGUUUCUCAGACCUUUGAUUAGUUAUCACACCUAGGAACUGGGUUGCUAGUUGAUUGUAUCAGAAGUUUUACGACCUUUGUUGUUUUUCCUGACUGUCCCCUAGGUAGAAAUUCCUUAGUCGUAAAACUGUGUUUGAUUGUGUUCGUUUCGGGGGCUCCUAAUCUUAUCAGCACCAGCCCCCUUUGCUUUUGUUUUGUGUUAAUAAAAAGACAAGCUCUACUGCAGAGUUUCAGAACACAUGGUGAACUGGUCAGAGGAGCAGUUCUCUGUGUUUUCUCCUUUUGCAAAAGCUUGGCUAUAAAAUUCAUAAUACGUUGUCUGUGGUUCUUUCUUUUAUUUAGGUUCGAAAGGAAAAAUACCUAUCAUUUUGGUGCCGAAACCCGGGAUCUCUCACCUCCCCCGCUGACAGGCAGAGGAAGACGCGCUGAAUCCGUGCACGGCCAGAUUCAAUUGAACCUGGAAAGACAGACUCAGGAAGCAAAUUCUUCGCUGGGCCAGCGACGUAGGUCCGACUUUGUCUGCCAACGGCGGAGUGACGAGAUCCGACUGGACAACCCGAAAACUACAGAAACAAAGCCCCUCCCAUCAAGCCAGGAGACUGGCUUGUCAGAGAAAGGAAGAGCUGGGCCAGCCCACUGUGGGAGGGACCAUUCCAAGUGCUGAUAACCACACCAACUGCUGUAAAUAUUGCUGAAAGACCCAGAUGGAUACAUCUCAGUCACUGUACGGUACAGAGAGUGUUAGACUUCUAGAUUGAGUGAUGGGGAAGAUCUGGCUACACAGGGAAUUCACUGUAUAGAUGUGUUUUGUCUCAACGCCAGCAGAAGAAUUCAACAGAUCCUCACUCUUUUAGCCUAGAAAUUCUGACAUCUCUGUAAUCUGAGCAGCAAUGGGACUCUCACAAGCCAGGUGGAAUCCCUGCUGUGCUGUGACUGCAGCAUGUUUAUUGUGUUGGAGUGGGGGCUGUCUCACCCUCAACAAGAUAAGGAGAGAAGCAGACACAUCUUUCCCCCAGACUCAUUCACAAGAUUACAGCCCCUAUUUGUGGUGGCAACUGAUGAAUAGAACUGAAUAUGAAGAAAAUGGGACCAACACAUAACUGUGGUCUGAGACAUGGAAACAAGCACACACCCAAGUGACACCAUACAUCUGCCACAGAUAGACCUCUGACUACCAGAAGUAAUUAUUUUGGUUAGUCUUAAGCCAGGAGCCCUUGGUGUCUGUGUGUAUAAUGGCACCACCUUUCUGGGGACAGCUCCAUAGAACCUGUGAAACAAAAAAUCUACACCUCCUGUGACAAGAAAGCAGACAUUUUCGACUGUGACGACUGCCAAGCGACGAACCACAUCAGUACUGCCUGUUCCAAAAGAUGGAAGUCUGACCGCAACUGUACCAGAGUUAUUCUUCUAAAGAUGAGGAAGUUCGACAUCGGAAGCAAGACCAGGGGACAUCAAAGUCACCUUCUGCAGCACCAUCAUUCCAGGGAACAGAGGAUCCAGGACAAUGGCAGACUGUGACUUUCCUGAAAAAGGUCCAGGACGUUCACAGCCAUGGACGCUACUGCACUAGGAGAGAUGUCAUGCCGAAAGCCCAACCCAAAGGUGGGGAGGCCUUACUAAAAAAACUGGAGUUCCUUGGAAAUUCCGGAUCUGGAGCGGCAGAGAAGAGUGUAUCCAAAGUCUAUUCCCAUCAGUGGGAGUAGCUGAAGUUCGAGACCAUGUUGAGAUCAACAGGAACUGGAGGAACUAUACAUGAUGCCCUGCAUGAAUGGGAAGAGCUUAAAGACUAUGUGGACGAUGCGACUCAGAGGUCACAGCCUUUUGACUCUAUUUCUUGGCUCACCUCCAGACCCUGGUGGCAGCCUUUUUAUUAAAGAUUGGAACACCCAUCAUGACUGUACUGAUCCUAUUCUGUCUCUAUACAACCUGCAUCAUUCCAAGUCUUCGUAGCAUUAUGUUAAAGACAUUUAACACUGCUUUGAUCAGCUAUCAGAUGGACAGGGUAACCUCUGACACAGAUGAGGACUACAUCUGGUUUCCAGAAAAAUGAAGAUAAACAGGAAAACAGGAACAUAUGAUGAUGUGCUGUACCUAAUAAACAGAUUAAAUCAUUUGC